CAGGAGGAUGCCAGCCACACCCCCAAUUAUGCAUCUCGGUGUUCUCAGUCUGAGCUAAUUUUCACCAGUUUUCACAUGUGUUAUAUCCACCGAGCAAACACAGGGAUGGCUGCUGGCAUGGGUCAUUGGGAUAUUUUGUAACAGAAGUCAGAUUCUAAAAGGAGCAGGUGUCUUCCCCAAGGCCCAACCAAUGAGGGGGAACACCUAUGCAACGGCAUGCAUGGGAAGGCCAGACGACCACACGACUUCACAGACCCAGAUCAUGCCGGCUAGGAAGAAAGUGCCGUUCCCGGCUGAGCCAUCUCACUAGCUCCAGAUUUUCCUCUUGCAGAUGUUGAAAUGUUUUGCGAUAGAUUAUUAGAUGUUUGGUAUGCAUUAUCCUGUCUCUAGAAUUUUGUCUUUAAGUUUCCAAAUGCCGAAAAGUGGAAUCAAAAGGAAAGAGCAAACAGCAAAGACCAUUUAAUGAAAACGUCUUAGAGUCUACUCCUAUAGGUUUGGUGUCUUGGGGUAAUUUAUUAACUCUCCUUUGCAUAGGCCAGACUGAUCAUGUCCACUGGCUGCCAGAGCAGAAAAGUGUUUCAGAUGGCAUGAUACCCGUCAUCCUCUGGACUGCCUUACAGGGGCCUCCAUAAACCUUUCUUUCCUUCUGGUAGAGGUGUCAUUCACAAAGGCUGGAAGGAAAUGGAGCUAUGGGGAGGCGGGGAGAGGACACUCCAAG
rnacentral:lncRNA from 1 species